CAUUGGAACUGAGACACGGUCCAAACUCCUACGGGAGGCAGCAGUGAGGAAUAUUGGUCAAUGGCCGGAAGGCUGAACCAGCCAAGUCGCGUGAGGGAAUAAGGCCCUACGGGUCGUAAACCUCUUUUGCCAGGGAGCAAUGCCGUCCACGUGUGGACGGAAGGAGAGUACCUGGAGAAAAAGCAUCGGCUAACUCCGUGCCAGCAGCCGCGGUAAUACGGAGGAUGCGAGCGUUAUCCGGAUUUAUUGGGUUUAAAGGGUGCGUAGGCGGCCUGCCAAGUCAGCGGUAAAAUUGCGGGGCUCAACCCCGUACAGCCGUUGAAACUGCCGGGCUCGAGUGGGCGAGAAGUAUGCGGAAUGCGUGGUGUAGCGGUGAAAUGCAUAGAUAUCACGCAGAACCCCGAUUGCGAAGGCAGCAUACCGGCGCCCGACUGACGCUGAGGCACGAAAGUGCGGGGAUCAAACAGGAUUAGAUACCCUGGUAGUCCGCACAGUAAACGAUGAAUGCUAGCUGUCCGGGGGGAUUGACCCCUGG
rnacentral:rRNA from 1 species